rnacentral:rRNA from 1 species
UUCAGAGUUUGAUCCUAGCUCAGGAUGAAUGCUAGCGGCGUGGAUAAGGCAUGCAAGUCAUGGGAUGCUGAAGUCGCAAGACCGAAGUAAACCGGCAGACGAGGUAGUAAUACGCAGGUACGCACCGAAGAGUCGGGCAUAGCCAGCCGAAAGGUUGGGUAAUUCCCGAUAGUCCCUGAGACGCAAGUCGAAGGGUAAAGCGGCAACGCGCUCUUUGAGCGGCCUGCGGGGCAUCAGCUAGACGGUAGGGUAACGGCCUACCGUGGCUACGACGCCUAGGGGAGCUGAGAGGCUGACCCCCACCGAUGGGACUGAGACACGGCCCAUACACCUACGGGUGGCUGCAGUCGAGAAUAUUUGGCAAUGGGCGAAAGCCUGACCAUGCGACGCCGCGUGCUGGACGAAGUCCUUCGGGACGUAAACAGCUUUUAUGCGUGAGGAAGUAAUUGACGUUAGCGCAUGAAUAAGGGGCUCCUAACUCUGUGCCAGCAGGAGCGGUAAUACAGAGGCCCCGAGCAUUAUCCGGAAUCACUGGGCGUAAAGGGUGUGUAGGCGGCCAUGUUAGUCCGUUCGUAAAAGCCCGCGGGCUCAACCCGUGGAAUGCGGCGGAAACGGCACGGCUUUAAGAGGACGCGAGAGGCAAAGGGAACUCAUGGUGUAGGGGUGAAAUCCGUUGAUAUCAUGGGGAACACCAAAUGCGAAGGCACUUUGCUGGCGCGCUCCUGACGCUGAAACACGAAAGCUACGGGAGAGAACGGGAUUAGAUACCCCGGUAUUCGUAGCCCUAAACGAUCACGACUGGCUUUGCGGAGUAUCGACCCUCUGCGAGGCGAAGCUAACGCGUUAAGUCGUGCGCCUGGGUAGUACGAUCGCAAGAUUAAAACUCAAAGGAAUAGACGGGGACUUGCACAAGCGGUGGAUCAUGCGGCUCAAUUCGAUGACAAACGAAGAACCUCACCAGGGUUUGAAACCAAGACGAAAACUUUGGGAAACCAGAGUCCCCGAAAGGCGGCUUGGCAGGUGAUGCAUGGUCGUCGUCAGUUCGUGGUUUGAACUGUUCCCUUCAGUGGGGUAACGAACGCAACCCCUGUUGCCUGUUUUAAAUGUCAGGCGAGACUGCCCCCUCACGGGGGAGGAAGGUGGGGAUGACGCCAGAUCAGCAUGUCCCUCUGAUAUCCUGGGCUGCACGCAUGAUACAAUGCACGCGACAACGCGACGCGACGGAGUAAUCCCGAGCAAAUCGUCAUAAACGCGUGCCCAGUUCGGAUUGAGGGCUGCAACUCGCCCUCAUGAAGCCGGAAUCGCUAGUAAUCGCGGGUCAGCUAUACCGCGGUGAAUACGUUCUCAAGUCUUGUACUCAUCGCCCGUCAAGUCAGGGAAGUCGGGAGUGCCUGAAAGUCAUCUUCGGAUGAACCACGGUAAACUCGAUGACAAGGACUAAGUCGUAACAAGGCACGGGUAGCGGAAGCUGCUCGUGGAACAAUU